UACGUAGGGUGCAAGCGUUGUCCGGAAUUAUUGGGCGUAAAGAGCUCGUAGGUGGCUUGUCGCGUUGUUCGUGAAAACCGGGGGCUUAACCCUCGGCGUGCGGGCGAUACGGGCAGACUGGAGUACUGCAGGGGAGACUGGAAUUCCUGGUGUAGCGGUGGAAUGCGCAGAUAUCAGGAGGAACACCGGUGGCGAAGGCGGGUCUCUGGGCAGUAACUGACGCUGAGGAGCGAAAGCGUGGGGAGCGAACAGG
rnacentral:rRNA from 1 species